rnacentral:rRNA from 1 species
UACGUAGGGUGCGAGCGUUGUCCGGAAUUAUUGGGCGUAAAGAGCUCGUAGGCGGUUUGUUGCGUCUAUCGUGAAAACCUGCGGCUUAACUGUGGGCUUGCGGUGGAUACGGGCAGACUUGAGUUCGGUAGGGGUGACUGGAAUUCCUGGUGUAGCGGUGAAAUGCGCAGAUAUCAGGAGGAACACCGGCGGUGUAGACGGCUCUCUGGACCGUAACUGACGCUGAGAUACGAAAGCGUGGGUAGCAAACAGG